rnacentral:rRNA from 1 species
AUACGGAGGGUGCAAGCGUUACUCGGAAUCACUGGGCGUAAAGCGCGCGCAGGCGGCUUGAUAAGUUGGAUGUGAAAGCCUACGGCUCAACCGUAGAACUGCAUCCAAAACUGUCAAGCUAGAGUCUGGGAGGGGAAGAUGGAAUUAGUUGUGUAGGGGUAAAAUCCGUAGAGAUAACUAGGAAUACCAAAAGCGAAGGCAAUCUUCUGGAACACUACUGACGCUGAGGCGCGAAGGCGUGGGGAGCAAACAGGAUUAGAAACCCCAGUAGUCC